GUAGUCUCGUAGUGACCUGCGGAGGGACAUUACCGAGUUCAUGCCCUUACGGGUAGACCUCCCACCCUAUGUUAUAUUACCUUUGUUGCUUUGGCGGGCCGCCCGGCUUCGGCCAGGCUACCGGCUCCAGCUGGUAAGCGCUCGCCAGAGGACCCUCAACUCUGAAUAUCAGUGUCGUCCGAGUACUAUAAAAUAGUUAAAACUUUCAACAACGGAUCUCUUGGUUCUGGCAUCGAUGAAGAACGCAGCGAAAUGCGAUAAGUAAUGUGAAUUGCAGAAUUCAGUGAAUCAUCGAAUCUUUGAACGCACAUUGCGCCCCUUGGUAUUCCGAGGGGCAUGCCUGUUCGAGCGUCAUUACAACCCUCAAGCACUGCUUGGUAUUGGGCUCCGCUGGCUCCAGCGGGCCUUAAAAUCAGUGGCGGCGCCGUUUGGGCUCUGAGCGUAGUAAAUAUCCUCGCUAUAGAGACCAGGCGGUUCUUGUCAUCAACCCCCAACUUUCUAAGUUUGACCUCGGAUCAGGUAGGGAUACCCGCUGAACUUAAGCAUAUCAU
rnacentral:rRNA from 1 species